rnacentral:rRNA from 1 species
UACGUAGGGGGCUAGCGUUGUCCGGAAUCAUUGGGCGUAAAGCGCGUGUAGGCGGUUCGGUAAGUCCGCUGUGAAAGUCGGGGGCUCAACCCUCGGAAGCCGGUGGAUACUGUCGGGCUAGAGUACGGAAGAGGCGAGUGGAGUUCCUGGUGUAGCGGUGAAAUGCGCAGAUAUCAGGAGGAACACCAAUUGCGAAGGCAGCUCGCUGGGACGUUACUGACGCUGAGACGCGAAAGCGUGGGGAGCAAACAGG